CCGCUAAGCACGGUCCAGAAAACAAAACCAAGCCAGCUAGACCAUUGGGGGAAGGGCCCCAGGGCAGGAAGAUAAGGCCAAUAUGGAAUCUGGGAUUGGAGACACAGCCAAGGGCAGCCUGCCAGCUCCAUAGUGCAGGCUCCACCUCACCCAGCCUGAGCCCAGGGGUUGGAAGAAAGAGGCCAGAACCACCCAGGCUCUUCCCGUAGAGACCAGCCCUACUGGAAGAAAUAGCAAGGCCAAAGAAGAGACGGACUUUUCUAACUCCCGUCAGCUGUUAUAAGGGAAGGAAAGCUAACUUUGUGUCCAAAGGCAGUUGGCUGCAUUCGCAGAAGAUGGACCACUAGACAGUCUUCUCUUCCCUCUGUGAGGACCCUAGACCUGAGGAGGCAGAAGAAGAUAGGACAGAGAAGAGAUGGAGAUGUGAUCCUGGAGACAGAGGUCAACAUGUUGCAGCCACAAGGAAUGUCAGCAGCCACACGGAACUGGAAGAGGGAAAGCUCAGUCCAGCAGACACCUGGAACUCAAGCAGGCUAUGCUGACUGUAGACUUCAGCCACCAGAACUGUGAGAGAAGGAAUUUUGAUCUUGGCAACUCAUUUGUUACAUCAGUGGCAUCAAGAAAGCAAUACUGGGGACAAAUGGUUGGCUUGGUAAGGAGGAGU